GGAAGGCAACCUUCACAGAGAGAGAGAGUGAUACAAUGGUCCUUUGAGAACCCACUCCGUCUUUACAAAGAAUGAGCUAGAGCCUUGUGAGGAAGAGAAAGGAUUUUUGAGGCAAGGAGCAAUAAUAUGCAACUUUUAGCAAAGGGAAAAAUUUUUGCAACCACAGGUAGCAAAACUGCCAGAUUUCUUUACCCGUACUGAUAUGGAGUUAAGAAGAAUAAUUGAGUAUCAGUGGGGAAAGGAAUUGCAGAUCAGGCUUGAGUUAGAAGAACAGCUGCAGCAGCUAGAGCUUAAGAAAAAGCAAAAAUUAGAAGAGGAACGCUUCAGGCAAAUAAUGAAAUGGCGGUGGGCAAAGCUGUGCAAGACAACAAAACCAUAUGAGCUUUCUUUGCAGCAUGAAGAUGAAGAGGAAGACCUGACAGAGGCAAGCAGCAGCACUGAAUUGCCAAGUGGGCAGGAGCCGUCACAUACCUGGGAGCCAAGCCUCUAAGGAACAGAUUCUGUGUUAUAAACAAAUGUGUGUAUAAAAUGAAAGAAUGUCCCUGGGGUUUUUGAUUUUGAGCAGAAGAAUGACUGGGGGAGGGAGGAGCUAGUCCCUUCCCUACCAGCUGCUUUCCUGUGGAGUUCCAGAUGUAUGUUUUAAAAGGUAAAGUCAUGCCUGGAGCUCUGCUGGGAAGCAGCUCAACGGGGGAGAGAUUUUGAAAGAAAAAAUCAAUGGAGAAAAGGUUAAACACCCCUCACCCAUAGCUCUUCCACUUGGAACUACAGGCUCCUGGGGCUGCUUUUCAUUUAGUACAUCUGCCAGGGCUUUGUUAUGCACACUUGUAUGUAACAUGUAAUCUGUCCCUAAUUCAGAUUUCCUCCUCUGAAAUAAAAACAAGCACAAUGUUUAUGAGAACGUGCUUUUAUAGUGAUCAA